UACGGAGGAUGCAAGCGUUAUCCGGAAUGAUUGGGCGUAAAGCGUCCGCAGGUGGCUUUGUAAGUCUGCUGUUAAAGAGUGAGGCUCAACCUCAUAAGAGCAGUGGAAACUACAAGGCUAGAGUACGUUCGGGGCAGAGGGAAUUCCUGGUGUAGCGGUGAAAUGCGUAGAGAUCGGAAAGAACACCAACGGCGAAAGCACUCUGCUGGGCCGACACUGACACUGAGAGACGAAAGCUAGGGGAGCGAAUGGG
rnacentral:rRNA from 1 species